CGUAACGGAGCUGCUUGUAUUCCUGUUGGAGCCAAUGGCAUUGAGCGGGACUGCAUUUGUCAGGCGGAAUAUACUGGUCAAGACUGUGAAACAAGGAUUACGGUGUCCAACACGGAUGUCCCUGUGGGUACAAUAGCGGCUGUCACAGUUUCUGCACUUCUUCUAGUUAUUUCUUCUGUGGUCAUAGCUGUAUUCGUCAGACGAAAGAGAUGUAGAAAAAAUACAGAUAAAAGGCAAAAAGAAGAUGGUGUAACUAAAAUGACUGAAGAACUCAUGCAGG